rnacentral:rRNA from 1 species
UACGUAGGGUGCGAGCGUUAUUCGGAAUUACUGGGCGUAAAGCGUGCGCAGGCGGAUUUGUAAGACGGUUGUGAAAUCCCGGGGCUUAACCUGGGAACUGCAUUUGAUACUGCCUGGCUUGAGUGAGGUAGAGGGGAGUGGAAUUCCUCGUGUAGCCGUGGAAUGCGUAGAUAUGCGGAGGAACACCGAUGGCGAAGGCAGCUCCCUGGGCCUGCCCUGACGCUCAUACACGAAAGCGUGGGGAGCAAACAGG